rnacentral:lncRNA from 1 species
AAGAACCCCUUCCCCUCCCCCUUGUUUAGGUGUGCUCUCGCCAUUGCUCCAUCUGUGAGACGCACCCUUCUUUAGAAGUAAAAUUUCUUUGCUGAGAAAAUUCAUAUUAGAGUGCUAUUUCUUUUGCAGCACUGAAAAUUUAUUUCCAACAAAUUUGGGGGUUCAUCUAGGAUUCCCAUUCUCCUCUGGGAAAGGGUCUUCUGCCUCUCCCAUGAGAAGGCGUGCCCCACUGCCUUGUUGUGGCGGCCUCAGGGGUAAGGAAUCAAGACCCACCUGGUGUGAUGAAUAAACCUGGACUCUCAGCGAUGCAGGAAGAAACAGGCUGGCAGCUUGGGGAAAGGAUUCUUACAUACCACGGCGACCAGAACUAAAGGUCUUUCAGCACACGCGCCACCCCUAGAGUUUCCAGUACACCAACAUCAGCCUGAGGACCACAUCCUCGUCAAAAGUUGGAGGGAAGGAAAACUCGAACUGGCUUGGGAAGAACACUUCCUAGUGCUUCUAACCACCGAGACUGCAGUUUGAACAGCAGAAAGAAGAUGGACUCAUCACACCUGGGUCAAAAGAACACGACCCCCUCCAGAAUCAUGGGCAGCUAUUCCUGGGCCAACUCCAACGAAGCUAAAGCUUGGUUUGAUCCUCUUACAUUGCAUCUCUUUCUUUUCCCCUUCGAUUGCUAGACCUCUCAUUAGUAAUGUAACUAGGUCAAGUUCACCCCAAACUACUACUUUUGAUGCUUGCCUUGUGAUGCCCUGUGGAGAUUUGCCUAACCAGAGGUAACUCUCCACUUCAGAAAAGUAUCUUUAUCCUUCCUAGCUCUCCUCAGACUGGAAAUCUGUUAACUGGGAUAGGUUAGUUUGGGAUGAGUUUGACGAAGAUUCUAGUAUGAACUGGGAAUCUUGUCCUCCUAGAGCAGAGCUUCUCUGCCGAAGUUGGUCCAAUGCUCUGUAAAAUACUGAAGAGCAAGGAUGGACCACCCCAACUAGUACUUGCAGUUUCUUAAAACCAUAUAUUCAUUUUACUACAAGAGUUAACCCUCCCCAUUGUCAGCUGAACCAAUGUAAUCCAGUACAGAUUACCAUCGCUGCUCCCCAGAGUUCUUCCCCUUCAUUAAGCUGUUUCUAUGGUAUUGGAGCAGAAGUCUCAGGGAAGGACCCCAUGGGAUCCUUUGCAAUGCACUUCGUCGCCUCCUCACCUCCUGCACCCACUUCUCCCUCUCCUUAGUUCUCCGGUAACCAAACCUUCUCUCGUUAUAUACCCAAUGAUAAAACCAAAGUAAUUGUUGUACAGGUUAAAGAUUCAAAACAAACCAUAGCAACUGAAACAGGGUAUCAGGACGCAAAUGCUUGGCUGGAAUGGAUUAAACAUUCUGUUUGCAGGCUAAACAAAAGCGCCUGUUACACUUGUGUGACAGGCAGGCCAGAGACCCAAAUUGUUCCCUUUCCACUUGGGUGGUCCUCUCACAGACCGGGCACGAGCUGUGUGGUAGCUCUCUUCCAGAACCCCACAGCCUGGGGUGGUGAGUCAUGCAAGACUCUUUCACUGCUGUUCCCUGAGGUCAAGAGCCCUGCGGGUCAGCCCUGAAGACUAUCCGGCCUCCAGCCCCUGAUGUUAACUUCACCUCAUGCCUUUCACGGCAGGGGGAAAAGUUAGCAUUCCUUGGAGACUUAACAGGGUGCAGUGAAACCAGGCCUUUUGAAGAGCUUACCAAUCAGUCUGCCCUUGUUCAUCCCCGAGCAGAUGUGUGGUGGUAUUGCUGGGGACUACUGCUGGGUACUCUGCCAAGUAAUUAGAGCAGCACUCAUGCUCUAGUCCAACUGGCCAUCCCUUUCACCCUAGCAUUCUGUCAAUAUGAUAAAAAAAAAAUUGUAAAAGAAGUGCCUCACGUGGGUCCUUUGACCCCCAUGUUUAUAUAAACACUAUUGGAGUUCUAUGAGGAGAACCAGAUGAAUUUAAAGCCCGAGAUCAAAUAGCUGCAGGAUUUAAGUCAGCAUUUUCAUGGGUGACAAUAAAAACAUAGAUUGGAUAAAUUACAUCUAUUAUGAUCACCAGUGGUUUAUUAAUUAUUCCACGGUUGCUGUCAAAGGGAUAACAGAACAACUGGGGCUCACCAGCCAGAUGGCCUGGAGAAACAAAAUGGCCCUGGAUAUGAUAUUAGCCACAAAAGGCGGUGUUGGUGUUAUGAUUAAAACUCAGCGUUGUACCUUUAUCCCAAACAACACUGCCCCCACUGGGGGCAUAACAAGAGCCUUACAAAGACUUACUGCUUUAUCCAAUAAACUAGCUAAACUUCUAGAGUCGAUAACUCUUUCUCAGAGUGGCUAGAAAGGAUGGUUUGGUAAAUGGAAAGAAAUCACAGCCUCAAUUCUUCUCUUGCAGCCUUAGUAGGUGUACUCGUUCUCGUUGGGUGUUGUGUCAUACCAUGCAUCCGUGGGCUAGUAUAAAGACUUAUAGAAGCAACACUUACUAAAACUUCCCUUAGCUCUCCUCCACCUUAUUCAGAUCAGUUUUUUCUUUUAUAGGAUUAAAUUGAACAACAAAGCCAAGACCUGUUAGAAAAGUUUGAAGAGAAACUACUAUGAAAAUUGAAAAGGGGGAAAUUGUAGGAUAAUAAUAAUAAAUUCCUGUCCAAAGGUUUUAGCCUGUAAAUUGUUAAGUAUAAAGUUCUGAGAUCCUCUCCAAAGAACCAAUGUAUCAGUAUGUUCAGCUCCCCUGUUCUUUGUUCUACAUUAUAAAGUUUAACUUCCUCAUUCUUUAUGUCUCCUUGCACCUAGUUUCAGUAAACAACCCCCUCCUAGCCUCUAUCACCUGCUCUGACCUUAGUCACCCUUCGUCACCUACUCUGUUCUUAGUCAUCCUGAGUCACCUGUUCUGUAACCAUCAUUCCCACCAAACUGCUCACCCUGCCUCUCUGGCUCAUACCCUUGCUGUCUUUAAAAUAGCCAGUCAGAAUUAGCUUAGACUGUGUGGUCCAACCAUAGCCAAUGGGGGAAUGACACAGCAGUAGGGGCUACCUGCAUCAGGGAUAAGAACCCCUUUCCCUCACUUGUUCAGGUGUGCUCUCACCAUUGCUCCAUCCAGGAGAUGCACCCUUCUAUAGAAGUAAAAUUGCCUUGCUGAGAAAAUUCAUGUUUGAGGGCUAUUUCUUUUGCGGCACUGAAAAUUUAUUUCCAACAUUCCUAACAGUACAAACACUUGGAAUAAGUAGCUCCUUUCUCCCUUCCCCUUUUCCAGCGGCAGCAACACCUCCAAUAUGAACUUGGAGAUUGGCAUCUAUCAUCCUUCCAUUUUAACCCAUCCAAGGACUCUUUAGAAACCAUCAACAAAGGCUAUUCUCUAAGACAUAUGGCAUAGGUCAGGGGCUAGGAGAUGUUUUCUUUGAAAGAUUACAUAAACAUCUUAGGCUCACAGGCCAUAUGCUCUCUGUCACACCUAUUCAACUCUGCCAUUCUAGCAUGAAGGCAGCCAUAGACAUAUGUAAGCAAAUGGAUGUUGCUGUGUCUUAAUAAAACUUUAUAAAAAGGGCCAGAUUUGGCCUAUGGAGCUGUAGUUUGCUGACUCCUGGGAAUAGACCUUAUUUAAUUAAUAAUUGCCUUAGUUAGAUUUUCAUCUUAUUUCAGAUAAUUUCUAUCUCAUCUUGGUUGAAUUUGCAUUCUGUUCCACACUAUCUUCUUUGGAAGGUCCCAGGAAACGUAUAGAUAAAAGAGACUGGGCAGAUACAGAUAAUGAAAUAGUAUUUGCAUGAAAAAUGUUACAAUUUCUAUGGCUGGCUCUUUGCCUGUCAAAUAAAACAAUGUGCGUGUUGUUUCUUUAACAGACUAACUCAGAAUUAUCCCCAUUACUUUAAAUGAAAUAUGGGAUGUUCAUUGUUGAAUUUCUUUCCUUGCUACAUACCUUGAUGCACAAAGAAAUCAAAGGAAUUAUUACCAAUUCUGUUAAGUCAAACUCUGAAUUUACAAAAGAUAAAUUAGUAUUCAGAAUCUUUUGAUUUACUGUUCUGUAGAAAUUCCAUUCCAUGGAUGAUAAUUAAUGGAACUGAGAGGUCAUUUUAAUUGUGUCAUUUUUAUAAGGUUUUUUUUUUUUUAGAGUUUUAAGAGGCUGAGAGAAAGAGUCAAAGGAUAUAAUUCUACUUCACCACAGAAACAGUAAUCUUGUGGUUCCUUUCCAAUUACUGUAGGAUGGUGUUAGCUUCUUAGAGGGGUUUUAGGUGAUAUAAUGAUGACCUAUCUUAUUUCCAAAUACUUUUUUGGCAUUUCUAAAGGAUUAUCAUUCUGUCCUUUUUAAAGCAUUUCUGUACCAGGCUCUUAAGACAAGAUCCAAUAUAAGAUAUCUUUUGAAGACUUUAUGGGCUCAACCUAACAGACCUUAGGAUAAAUGUCAACUGAAACCACCAGGGUUCCUAACAUCCAGGGCACACCCACUCUAGGAGUCCUAGGUGUACAGAGUAGGAGUAAAGGAAGCAAACUAACACCCAUAGAACUGCAUUCUACAAGCAUCACGCCCAGAGCUUUAGAAACAUACUCUCUCAGUGCAUGAUUAAGGCAAGUAAGAAUAAAAUGCGAAUUUCAGGUUGCCUCAGAUAAGGAACUGGUCUGGGAAAUGUGCAUUAUACUUCUUAGCAUCUGUUUUCCAAGAAUCUUUUCUUUCAUGUCCAAUAAAUUUGGCAACUAGGAUAAUUAAGUGGCUUGAUGAAUAUUUGAGAAUCUUGAUUUUCUAGUGUAAACAGGAUUUCUUCAACUUCCAUCAUGGCCUAUGUAAUCCUUGGCCAGAUGUAAGGCACUCAUUUAUGGGUCUAUUAUUUGGCUCUUUAGAUACCUCUUCCAUUUCAGAACAUAGCUAUGCAUAAUAAUUGUAUUCCAAGGUUAGCUCACAAAUGGCAUGUUAGGAUGAAUGUAGAGGAACAUUUAUAGUCAUUGUGUUAGGGAGUAUUAACUGGGCGUUACAAAGAAUCUGUUCUGCUCCCAACCCUGUGUCAGGUUUUACACUUCUACCUUCCUGACCUUAAUAUAAGCACACUAACUUUUGCAAAGAGGUGGGAUUAAUAAUACUUAUUAUGUAUUUAGUGCUAUGUGCCAGGCAUAAUGUAAAAUACUUCAUACAACCCUGUGAGGCAGAAAUUGUUAUCCCCAGUUUGCAGAAGAAAAACCAGCAGCCCAGAGAGAGGUUGUGAUUUGAACAAAGUCAAAACCUAGAUAGUGGCUGAGACAGAAUUUAUACCAGGUCUGUCUCACCCCAAAGCCUGGGCUCUUAACCACAAUGCUAUGAUUCUCUCUUAUUUUCUUUCUUUAUUUGUUUAAAUUGUGGGAAGAAUACUUAACGUAGAGAUCUAUCUUCUUAACAAAAGUUCAAGUGCACAACACAGCACUGUUAGCUGUAGGCACAAUGUUGUGCAGCAGAUCUCCAUCACUUAAUCGUCUUGCAUAACUGAAACUUUAUACCCAUUGAACUGCAAUGCCCACCUCUCCCUCCCCCCAGUUCCUAACAACCACCAGUCAACUCUCAAAAUCUCCCAUUUUAUAAUGAUAGCUUUCAACUUGAGAAUCCUUCCCAAUCAAUUUAAUCCUCAGCCUCAGUACUCCUAGGAAACCCCCUCCUCCCAUCAUCUACCUUAAAGAAGGCUCUUUCCUGUGCCCUAGUUGGCUUUCCAAUCAUUUCCUCCUAAUCUUCAAGGGUAAACAAAGCCAAAAUGCUAGAAUUAGAAUCUCCAGUCUGUCAAGUACCAGCUGAGUGGCCUUGGGCAAAUUACUUAACUUCUCUGGGCUUUCGUUUUCUUUACCGCAAAAUUGGGAUCCAUGUAGGUAAAAUUCCCCAGAAGCAAACUCUGAAACAAUGAUCCACAUGAAAACUUGGAUUUGUUAGAAAGUGUUCCCAGGAAAAAACAGAAGAGUGGAGAAGUGGAGCAGUGAUGAGAAGGGAAUAUGAUUUCAAGAGGAGUCCCACAGAAGAAAACCUUGGAUUGAUCUCAUCAGGGAGCUUUGGAGAUAGUGCAGGUCUUACCUCGAAGCCAUCUUCAUCAGGCACAAGGGAACGGAAGUGUUUAUACUCCUAUGCCUCUCAGCCAUUGGUUCAGUGCCACACCACAGAGACAUAAAUUCCCAAACGACUCUUUAUAAACACAGACAAAGCAGGUUUCAGCAGACUGGAGGAAGGUCUAUGUCUGACAUGCAAGUGUUGGUUAUUGGGGCUGAAAGUUCAUUGGAAAUGGUAUACAUAAAAAGGCUAAAGAGAUCUGGGCAGAACAGUGAUACCAGCUGCCACAGGAGUACUAACAGUUCCUUCUCUGUUUCUAUGAGGGUUUUUAUUGGUAAAAUGCUUAUGAGAAUGCCUAGUUCAUAGUAGGCACUACUAAAUAUAUGUUACAUGAAACAAAUAAAAAGGCUACAAGGUGAUAAUAUGGAGAGUCCACAAAACGGUAAUAAAAAAAAUGAAAAGAAACUCUAGAUUCAAAGUCUAAUCUUUUCUUCUUUUGGGAAUGAUCUUGCAAAGUUCUCAGGCAGGUUUUGUAGGUUCAUCACCUCCAGGAGAAGGAAAAAUGAGAAUCCAGGGCAUGGUAGCAUGGAGCUCUGGAGGCCUAAUUCCCACUCCCUGACUCGGCUUAACUCUAACAUACUGAGUUAAACUAAAUAAAUCGAUUCAAGAGUUCCAAAAUCACAAUAUAAUAUUGAGCUCUCUACCAAGGCUGAGGAAAUAUUGAGCUCUCUACCAAGGCUCUACCAAGGCUGAGUGGCCCUAUGGGGACUGAAAGCAGCGUUUUCUCACCACAGCACCACCACAAGAGAAGUCACACAGCUGAAGUCACACAGGGAAUCUCACACCUCCCACUGUCCUCCCAUAUCCUUUUGCCACCCUCCCAGCUUGUUCACAUCCUUUGCCCUGAAGCCCAGUUCUAAUGCUAACUCUUCUGGCAACUCACCCCUAAUUCCUCCACACCCAGCUAUGAGAUAGCAGCUUCCUCUCCUUGGAAUGGCCACUGUACUUUAAAG